UUCAGUAGCUGCAAGAUUCAUAUGGGUGGUCUAUAAUAAAACUGAAACUAAUGACCAUCUGGCAUCUCUGUUACUGUCAUCUCAUUACCACGACCGGAGUCGUCCGCUGCGCAAGUCUUUUAAAAUACGGAAACAAGCAAAGUCGAGUACCCCGAAAAACGUCCACGCUGUAGGCGUACACUGGGUAACGAUUUGAAUUGACCAGGUUUGUCGGCGCCGGAGUUAAUUGUUUAAAAGACGUCAUGCACACUCACUGUCUAACGUAGUUUUUCGAUAUUUAAAUAAAUUUUUAUUUGUUCUUCAAUAUAAAACAUGUUAGAAUAAAAGGUCUUUUAAUGUAAA